UGGCGGCCAUAGCGCAACGGCCCCACCUGAUCCCAUGCCGAACUCAGAAGUGAAACGUUGUAGCGCCGAUGGUAGUGUGGGGUCUCCCCAUGUGAGAGUAGGGAACUGCCAGGCA
rnacentral:rRNA from 1 species